GUCCACGCCGUAAACGAUGUCGACUAGCCGUUGGAGACCUUAGUGUUUUAGUGGCGAAGCUAACGCGAUAAGUCGACCGCCUGGGGAGUACGGCCGCAAGGUUAAAACUCAAAUGAAUUGACGGGGCCCGCACAAGCGGUGGAGCAUGUGGUUUAAUUCGAUGCAACGCGAAGAACCUUACCAGGUCUUGACAUCCAGAGAACUUUCCAGAGAUGGAUUGGUGCCGCAAGGAGCUCUGAGACAGGUGCUGCAUGGCUGUCGU
rnacentral:rRNA from 1 species